rnacentral:rRNA from 1 species
GACGAACGCUGGCGGCGUGCUUAACACAUGCAAGUCGAGCGGUAAGGCCCUUUCGGGGGUACACGAGCGGCGAACGGGUGGGUAACACGUGGGUGACCUGCCCUCAGCUCUGGGAUAAGCCUGGGAAACCGGGUCUAAUACCGGAUAUGACUCCAUGACGCAUGUUGUGGGGUGGAAAGCCUUGUGCGGCUGAGGAUGGGCCCGCGGCCUAUCAGCUUGUUGGUGGGGUGAUGGCCACCAAGGCGACGACGGGUAGCCGGCCUGAGAGGGCGACCGGCCACACUGGGACUGAGACACGGCCCAGACUCCUACGGGAGGCAGCAGUGGGGAAUCUUGCGCAAUGGGCGAAAGCCUGACGCAGCGACGCCGCGUGAGGGAUGACGGCCU